CGGCGGAGGAGACCGCCAAAUCCGAGCCUGGAUCUGGCGGGGUGGGGGCCGGCGACGGCGUCCAUUGACGGCAGUGGCGGUGCCUGGUGGUGGUGGCGGCGGGCGGCCGGAUCCGGCUGGACGGUGGAUGGCCUGCGAUGGUUGGGUUCGGCCGUGGCGGCGAGUUGCAGGCGACGGCGUCAGCAGCAGAGGCGCGAGAGGCUGCGAUCAGCGGCGGCAAGCGCACUAGCGCGGACGCAUAGAGGCCGUGACGGCAGCGGAGGCUCGGGAGGCCACGAUAGCAGGCGCGACAACGGCGCGUGCCUGGACGGUGGCAAGUGCGCUAGCACGGCGGAGUGGCCAGUAGUUGUGUGGUGCGAGGAGGGCGACGAGGCCGGUCGGCGCGCGGUGGCUGCGCAACGGGAGGUGAGGCCGGUGGAGGCUAGCUAG
rnacentral:lncRNA from 1 species